UACGUAGGGUGCGAGCGUUAAUCGGAAUUACUGGGCGUAAAGCGUGCGCAGGCGGUUUUGUAAGUCAGAUGUGAAAUCCCCGGGCUCAACCUGGGAACUGCAUUUGUGACUGCAUCGCUGGAGUACGGCAGAGGGGGAUGGAAUUCCGCGUGUAGCAGUGAAAUGCGUAGAUAUGCGGAGGAACACCGAUGGCGAAGGCGAUCCCCUGGGCCUGUACUGACGCUCAUGCACGAAAGCGUGGGGAGCAAACAGG
rnacentral:rRNA from 1 species